CUACGGUCAUGUCCAUAACUUGGCAGCAGCCUCAGUUGGAGCCACUUUUCAUUUAAGAGAAAGAAAUCAUACAGGAUAUGAUAUCACAUGCUUAGAACCUUCCAUUAUGGUAGAUAAUUCUCCUCCCCGAGUAAACUGGUGUUUAUUCCAUUUGGCCAGGUAUCUGUUGAUCUUUCAUCAGGUCACUGGCCCAUUUUGUAGACAACAUGCACUUAAAUUGUUUCUUUUUUUCAGAAGUAGCUACUGUGUGGAAUCAGGAUGUCACCAAAAGCAUUUUUGACACUGGUAUCUCAUUCUUUCGUCCCAAGGUUAGAGAUAAGUUGAAAUGACUAUUUUUGGACAGAGCAGUUGUGCGUUAUGGCAUCGCCCCUGACUUGGGAGCUUAUCUCUUGGGUUUGCAUGCAGCUCUGGAACAUGUUAAGCUUUGAGAUAUCAAGCAAGUCAGUUGUUUUUUAAUUUACCAUUCUGAAGAUCCACAAUACACAGUUUAUUUUAAUACACCCGUUCAAUGCUCACUACAGACCUCGCCUAAACAGUGAUUGUUUACUAUCCACAAACUCCUUGAAUGGAGAAACCGAAGGGCUAACGAAUGUGCCCAUGCUUCUAAGCCCCUAAAGGAAGGAGGCAAGAUAUGAACCUAGGGAUAUAGCUCUAAAGCUGAAUUAAUAAUGAAUUGUUGAACUGCAGUUAUUACCCUGAGGAGGAUGGCUCUCAACCCUGCCAUCACGGGUAGCCAUAGGUUGGUUCCCUCACACAUGCUAGUCCUAGAUUUACAUGAGUCUACGGAGAUCCCAAACACUGUCUAUGAUUCCAAGAUGGCUGCAGCAGUCACGGGCUUAGGGCAGACAACAGUGAAUGUAAUUGCAGGGUACGGCACAGCCUUUGGUGUGAAUAAUACAGAGCUGCCCCAGAUGCCUCUGACAACAGGGCCAAAUGCAAGCUCUGAAUAUUAGGAAGAACUACUUAGAAAUAUUGAGAAACUCCUUUCAGUGCUGGGGACAUUCCUCAGCGGUUGGCCCCAAACAAAUAAGAUGGAGAUAUUUUUUGAGAUAGUUGAAAACUCUUAUCACGACAAGACCUAGAAAUGAUCAAAUCCUGCAAACUACAUUCAUUAGACACAAUGACAAGACAGCAAAAAAGCAUCGGGAUCCUCCCUAGGCAAUUACUACACAUGCAUGACAAAGGAAAGGUGGACUGAAGAAGGAACUCUCGUGUGAUUAACACCAGCUGUUUUAUAGAAUAUAAUUCCAAUAUUUCCCAUUCUUCCAUCAUCGACUGUAACAAAAGUUUA